rnacentral:rRNA from 1 species
GACAGAGGGUGCAAACGUUGCUCGGAAUUACUGGGCGUAAAGCGCGUGUAGGUGGCCACGCAAGUCAGGUGUGAAAGCCCAGGGCUCAACCCUGGAAGUGCACAUGAUACUACGUGGCUGGAGUACUGAAGAGGAGAGCGGAAUUCCCGGUGUAGAGGUGAAAUUCGUAGAUAUCGGGAGGAACACCAGUGGCGAAGGCGGCUCUCUGGGCAGAUACUGAGGCACGAAAGUGUGGGGAUCAAACAGG